UUUAGAGUUUGAAUCUGGCUCAGGAUGAACGCUGGCGGCAUGCCUAAUACAUGCAAGUCGAACGGGGUGCUUGCACCCAGUGGCGAACGGGUGAGUAACACGUAUCUAAUCUACCUUUUAGUGGGGGAUAACAGUUGGAAACGACUGCUAAUACCGCAUACGACAUCAUUAUCGCAUGAGAAGAUGUUGAAAGGCCCGUUUGGGUCGCUAGAAGAUGAGGAUGCGGCGUAUUAGCUAGUAGGUGGGGUAAAGGCCCACCUAGGCGAUGAUACGUAGCCGAACUGAGAGGUUGAUCGGCCACAUUGGGACUGAGAUACGGCCCAGACUCCUACGGGAGGCAGCAGUAGGGAAUUUUUCACAAUGGGCGAAAGCCUGAUGAAGCAAUGCCGCGUGAGUGAUGACGGUCUUCGGAUUGUAAAGCUCUGUUGUAAGGGAAGAACAGCUAGAAGAGGAAAUGCUUUUAGUUUGACGGUACCUUACCAGAAGCCCACGGCUAAAA
rnacentral:rRNA from 1 species